UUCCAGAGUACGGCCAGACACGUGAAACCUGGUCGGAAGAUGGGGGGACCACCCUCCAACCCUAAAUACUACCCAGUGACCGAUAGCGUAUAGUACUGUGAAGGAAAGGUGAAAAGCACCCCGGGAGGGGAGUGAAAAAGAACCUGAAACCCUGUGCCUACAAGCACCUAGAGCGCGUCAAUGCGUGAUAGGGUACUUUUUGUAGAACGGUCCGGCGAGCGAUUGUAUGCAGCAAGGUUAAGGACUUAAGGUCUGGAGCCGAAGCGAAAGCGAGUUUGAAAAGGGCGUUAAGUUGCAUAUAAUGGGCCCGAAACCGGGUGACCUACCCAUGGUCAGGUUGAAGUGGAAGUAAAAUUCCAUGGAGGACCGAACCGACCUCCGUUGAAAAGGCGGCGGAUGAACUGUGGGUAGCGGAGAAAUUCCAAUCGAACCCGGAGAUAGCUGGUUCUCCCCGAAAUAGUUUUAGGACUAGCCUCAAGUUAGAUACCUGGAGGUAAAGCACUGAAUAGCCUAGCGGCCGAGAGGUUAGCGAAGCUUAUCAAACUCAGAAUGCCAGAGUAUUGAUGCUUGGGAGUCAGACAGUGUCAGAUAAAUGUCAUUGUCAAAAGGGAAACAGCCCAGAUCUACAGCUAAGGUCCCAAAGUCAGGUUAAGUGGAAAACGAUGUGAAGAUACGCAGACAACCAGGAUGUUGGCUCAGAAGCAGCCACUCAUUCAAAGAGUGCGUAAUAGCUCACUGGUCGAGCGUCUUUGCGCGGAGAAUUUAACGGGGCUAAACCUGACACCGAAGCUUAGGCAAUCCAGUAAUGGAUUGGGUAGGGGAGCGUUGUAUACGCGGAGAAACAGUAGCGUAAGCGGCUGUGGAGUGUAUAGAAGUGAGAAUGCCGGAAUGAGUAGCGCGAAUGCAGUGAGAAUCUGCAUGGCCGAAAGCCUCAGGUUUUUGGAGGAAGGUUCGUCCGCUCCAAGUUAGUCGGGAGCUAAGGUGAGGCCGGAAGGCGUAGCCGAUGCACAGACGGUAGAGAUUCCGUCACCACCAAAAGAGUUAAGCACAGGGACACAUUUGAAGUCUCAGAGCCGGGUGUUGGUUCCGGUAGAGAUCGAGGGAAGUUAGUACCGAAGUCUGGGAUGGAAGAUGGCGAGAAAAGCUGUGUGUAUUUCUGAGGUGCCCGUACCGCAAACCGACACAGGUAGGUAGGAAGAAGAUUCUAAGGCCAACGGGAGAAGGGUUGUUAAGGAACUCGGCAAAUUGACCCCGUAACUUCGGGAGAAGGGGUGCUCCAGAGAUGGAGCCGCAGAGAAUCGGCCCAAGCAACUGUUUACCAAAAACACAGGUUUGUGCUAAAUCGAAAGAUGACGUAUACGAGCUGACGCCUGCCCGGUGCUGGAAGGUUAAGAGGAGAUGUGCAAGCAUUGAAUCGAAGCCCCAGUGAACGGCGGCCGUAACUAUAACGGUCCUAAGGUAGCGAAAUUCCUUGUCAGGUAAGUUCUGACCCGCAUGAAAGGCGUAAUGAUUUGGGCACUGUCUCAACAGCCCGCCCGGCGAAAUUGUAGUACCGGUGAAGAUGCCGGUUACCCGCGACAAGACGGAAAGACCCCAUGGAGCUUUACUGUAGCCUAAUAUUGGGUUUCGAUGUUGCAUGCACAGGAUAGAUGGGACACUGGGAA
rnacentral:rRNA from 1 species